GACAGAGGGUGCAAACGUUGUUCGGAAUUACUGGGCGUAAAGCGCGUGUAGGCGGCCCUGCAAGUCGGGUGUGAAAUCCCACGGCUCAACCGUGGAAGUGCACUCGAAACUGCAGGGCUAGAGUCCUGGAGAGGAAGGUGGAAUGCUUGGUGUAGAGGUGAAAUUCGUAGAUAUCAAGCGGAACACCGGUGGCGAAGGCGGCCUUCUGGGACAGUGACUGACGCUGAGACGCGAAAGCGUGGGGAGCAAACAGGGAU
rnacentral:rRNA from 1 species